rnacentral:tRNA from 1 species
GUCCCUGUAGCUCAGUUCGGAACGAGCACCGGCCUUCGAAGCCGGGUGUCACAGGUUCGAAUCCUGUCAGGGACG